UAGUAUACAUAUUCUACUUUGAACUGCGAAUGGCUCAUUAUAUCAGUUAUAGUUUAUUAGAAAAUCCCUUACUACUUGGAUAACCGUAGUAAUUCUAGAGCUAAUACAUGCGUUGACACCUAUCUCAGGUGGUAUUUAUUAGAUGGAAACCAACCCCUUCGGGGUGAUGUGGUGAUUCAUAAUAAGUUUGCGGAUCACAUGGCUUGUCCAGUGACGGAUCAUUCAAGUUUCUGCCCUAUCAGCUUUGGACGGUAAGGUAUUGGCUUACCGUGGCUUUAACGGGUAACGGGGAAUUAGGGUUCGAUUCCGGAGAGGGAGCCUGAGAGAUGGCUACCACAUCCAAGGAAGGCAGCAGGCGCGUAAAUUACCCAAUCUUGAAACAAGGAGGUAGUGACAAUAAAUAACAAUGCCGGGCCUUUCUAGGUCUGGCAAUUGGAAUGAGAACAAUUUAAAUCCCUUAUCAAGGAUCAAUUGGAGGGCAAGUCUGGUGCCAGCAGCCGCGGUAAUUCCAGCUCCAAUAGCGUAUAUUAAAGUUGUUGCAGUUAAAAAGCUCGUAGUUGGAUUUGUGCAUGUCCCUAGAUGUCCAUAUUGUUUGGUGCGUUCUAAGGCGUGCAUCCUUGGGUGGAUCCUGUGUGGCAUUAGGUUGUCGUGCAGGGGAUGCUCAUCGUUUACUGUGAAAAAAUUAGAGUGUUCAAAGCAGGCUUAUGCCGUUGAAUAUAUUAGCAUGGAAUAAUAAGAUAGGACCUUGGUACUAUUUUGUUGGUUUGCGCACCGAGGUAAUGAUUAACAGGGACAGUUGGGGGUAUUCGUAUUCCAUUGUCAGAGGUGAAAUUCUUGGAUUUUUGGAAGACGAACUACUGCGAAAGCAUUUACCAAGGGAUGUUUUCAUUAAUCAGAACGAAAGUUAGGGGAUCGAAGAUGAUUAGAUACCAUCGUAGUCUUAACCAUAAACUAUGCCAACAAGGGAUUGGCGGGGUCCUCGUUACGUCCCCG
rnacentral:rRNA from 1 species